GAAAAAGAACCUGAAACCGUGUACGUACAAGCAGUGGGAGCCCCACCACUAAGCCAGUGGUGAACUCCACAUCCGCAUCCUUUGCUGAGGAUACGGUUAACGGAGCGAAAGCGACGUUCAACCGCAAAACAAGCAGAGGGGGCUUAGUGGUGGGGUGACUGCGUACCUUUUGUAUAAUGGGUCAGCGACUUAUAUUCUGUAGCAAGGUUAACCGAAUAGGGGAGCCGGAGGGAAACCGAGUCUUAAUUGGGCGUUAAGUUGCAGGGUAUAGACCCGAAACCCGGUGAUCUAGCCAUGGGCAGGUUGAAGGUUGGGUAACACUAACUGGAGGACCGAACCGACUAAUGUUGAAAAAUUAGCGGAUGACCUGUGGCUGGGGGUGAAAGGCCAAUCAAACCGGGAGAUAGCUGGUUCUCCCCGAAAGCUAUUUAGGUAGCGCCUCGUGAAUUCAUCUCCGGGGGUAGAGCACUGUUUCGGCUAGGGGGCCAUCCCGGCUUACCAACCCGAUGCAAACUGCGAAUACCGGAGAAUGUUAUCACGGGAGACACACGGCGGGUGCUAACGUCCGUCGUGAAGAGGGAAACAACCCAGACCGCCAGCUAAGGUCCCAAAGUCAUGGUUAAGUGGGAAACGAUGUGGGAAGGCCCAGACAGCCAGGAUGUUGGCUUAGAAGCAGCCAUCAUUUAAAGAAAGCGUAAUAGCUCACUGGUCGAGUCGGCCUGCGCGGAAGAUGUAACGGGGCUAAACCAUGCACCGAAGCUGCGGCAGCGAACGUAUCACCCAAGACAACUUUACGGAGUUGACGAUUGACGGAGCGAAGCGACGUCAAAGCGUUCAUUAAAGUCGAGUUGGCUUAGGGAUACGUUCGUUGGGUAGGGGAGCGUUCUGUAAGCCUGUGAAGGUGUGUCGUGAGGCAUGCUGGAGGUAUCAGAAGUGCGAAUGCUGACAUAAGUAACGAUAAAGCGGGUGAAAAGCCCGCUCGCCGGAAGACCAAGGGUUCCUGUCCAACGUUAAUCGGGGCAGGGUGAGUCGACCCCUAAGGCGAGGCCGAAAGGCGUAGUCGAUGGGAAACGGGUUAAUAUUCCCGUACUUGGUGUUACUGCGAAGGGGGGACGGAGAAGGCUAUGUUGGCCGGGCGACGGUUGUCCCGGUUUAAGCGUGUAGGUGUGUGUUCCAGGUAAAUCCGGUUCACUUUAACACUGAGGCGUGACGACGAGGCACUACGGUGCUGAAGCAACAAAUGCCCUGCUUCCAGGAAAAGCCUCUAAGCAUCAGGUAACACGAAAUCGUACCCCAAACCGACACAGGUGGUCAGGUAGAGAAUACCAAGGCGCUUGAGAGAACUCGGGUGAAGGAACUAGGCAAAAUGGUGCCGUAACUUCGGGAGAAGGCACGCUGACACGUAGGUGAAGUGAUUUACUCAUGGAGCUGAAGUCAGUCGAAGAUACCAGCUGGCUGCAACUGUUUAUUAAAAACACAGCACUGUGCAAACACGAAAGUGGACGUAUACGGUGUGACGCCUGCCCGGUGCCGGAAGGUUAAUUGAUGGGGUCAGCGUAAGCGAAGCUCCUGAUCGAAGCCCCGGUAAACGGCGGCCGUAACUAUAACGGUCCUAAGGUAGCGAAAUUCCUUGUCGGGUAAGUUCCGACCUGCACGAAUGGCGUAAUGAUGGCCAGGCUGUCUCCACCCGAGACUCAGUGAAAUUGAACUCGCUGUGAAGAUGCAGUGUACCCGCGGCAAGACGGAAAGACCCCGUGAACCUUUACUAUAGCUUGACACUGAACAUUGAGCCUUGAUGUGUAGGAUAGGUGGGAGGCUUUGAAGUGUGGACGCCAGUCUGCAUGGAGCCGACCUUGAAAUACCACCCUUUAAUGUUUGAUGUUCUAACGUGGACCCGUAAUCCGGGUUGCGGACAGUGUCUGGUGGGUAGUUUGACUGGGGCGGUCUCCUCCUAAAGAGUAACGGAGGAGCACGAAGGUUGGCUAAUCCUGGUCGGACAUCAGGAGGUUAGUGCAAUGGCAUAAGCCAGCUUGACUGCGAGCGUGACGGCGCGAGCAGGUGCGAAAGCAGGUCAUAGUGAUCCGGUGGUUCUGAAUGGAAGGGCCAUCGCUCAACGGAUAAAAGGUACUCCGGGGAUAACAGGCUGAUACCGCCCAAGAGUUCAUAUCGACGGCGGUGUUUGGCACCUCGAUGUCGGCUCAUCACAUCCUGGGGCUGAAGUAGGUCCCAAGGGUAUGGCUGUUCGCCAUUUAAAGUGGUACGCGAGCUGGGUUUAGAACGUCGUGAGACAGUUCGGUCCCUAUCUGCCGUGGGCGCUGGAGAACUGAGGGGGGCUGCUCCUAGUACGAGAGGACCGGAGUGGACGCAUCACUGGUGUUCGGGUUGUCAUGCCAAUGGCACUGCCCGGUAGCUAAAUGCGGAAGAGAUAAGUGCUGAAAGCAUCUAAGCACGAAACUUGCCCCGA
rnacentral:rRNA from 1 species